rnacentral:lncRNA from 1 species
CCUACUUUUUUCUGCCAUGUAAUGGCAUAAAGAAUUCAUGGAUGCCAUAAAAUGAUUACGAUUUUGUCUAUUAUAAGAUAUCUAAAUAUUGUCUACUAAACACUUUUGGGGUCUAUCUAGAAUGUAGUCUGGUCUUAUUCUAAAUGAUAUGUUACUCUCAGGGUAAGCAAUUAAGUUAAAUGGUCUGAAGUGAAUUCUUUCCAUUGUUUCUAAAG